GGUAUGUGAAGUUGAAUCUCUGGCGGGAGUCGGGAGAAGUGGCUGGGCACCAAGCCCCCGGAUUUCUGGGGCCUUUACAGGCUCCACAGGCGGCCACCUGCCACCCCAGACGCCAGAUCCAGCCCGCCUGGCUGAGCCUGGAUCCGCAGUAGCAGCCACGUCCGUUUCAUCUUUGCCUCUGGCCGCUCUUCCGGCGCGCUCAACUUGGAUGAGUUGGGAUCUUGAGUGCCCGCACAGCUGGAGCCCUGCGACUGCCGCGAGGGUCCUGAAGGCACCAGGCGGCUCUCAGGCUGAGCUCCCUCCUCAAAGGCUCGGGGUCUUUCCUCUUUUUUUCCCUUCCUAGUAACUAACUGCCUAGCAAGAUUUCUGCAGCUCCCGUCCCCUCUCAGAGCUCCCCUCGAAACAGCAGAGCUGCAUUAGCAAUCGGACCCUGAGCAGCCAGAAACUUGAACUUCGGAGUAAGAAUAAGAAAAUGUGCGGGAUGAAGUGUCCGAGGCUGGCACACAGCACGUUUGCUGAGGCGAGGAACUCUGCACAGCGACCGGUCCACGGUUCUGGCCACACCUGCACGAUAAUUUUCAGAUCAGAAAAUAUGUUCCAAACACUAAUCAAGAAGACUGCGUGAAGUAUAUAUAUAAAAAAGUUGUGAGUAUUAAUAUGUGGCAGUAGAAGUCACUUGCAAUCAACUGGUCAAACUGCUAGUGAUGCAGUAGACUUUGAUUAGUAUGAGUGGGACUAUGUUUCUCCUUGAUACUCCUCAAAUUACUGCAUCUAAACAAGAAGGAAAUGAGUGAGUCAUUUUCUUGAUAUGAUCAUUACAACUGAAUCAUUAUGACAGAUCAUUAUGACGGUUUUUAACAAGUAAGUUGUCAUUUUCCAUCAGUGCAGUAUUGUUCCUCUAAGAAGUUUAAUGUCUUGGAGUGGAAUGACAUACCUCUUAUCUAUAGUCACCAUUGAUGAGCAAGUAGGAGGGGGUGUGCACCUAAACACAUAGUCAGCACAUAGCUCAUGAUUUUAACCAUAAUAGAUUUCUCAGAGUUAGAGGAGAAAGUAAACUCAUAUAAUACUACCAUUUUCCCCCAAAGAACCUUGCCCUUCUCUUCUUCUCACUGCAUUUAUUUUUAUAUGUUAAAAGUAAGUAUACCUUAAAAGUACCCAUAUCAGCUGUAAGGAGGGGUAAAACCUUCCCGUCUACUGUAGCAGACAGAACUGGACUUGACAGACACAGCCACAAAGUUAGGAGAAGGAAGACAUGACCUCACUCAUAUGUGAGAUUAGAAAAAAAAAAGUGAAUGAACAGACAAAUUCAAAUGAAGACAAGCCCUUAGAUACUGAUUACAAUACUGGAGCAAGUGAAGGGGUGAGUCAGGAUUGUAUAAGUGUAAAGGUUUCAAUAAAAUGAAAAAAAAAAGUAAUACUGACAUUAUGGUCAAGAUUAACAUAUAUUUUGAAGAAGUGUUGAA